rnacentral:rRNA from 1 species
UUAAGCGACUAAGCGUACACGGUGGAUGCCCUGGCAGUCAGAGGCGAUGAAGGACGUGCUAAUCUGCGAUAAGCGUCGGUGAGGUGAUAUGAACCGUUAUAACCGGCGAUUUCCGAAUGGGGAAACCCAGUGUGUUUCGACACACUAUCAUUAACUGAAUCCAUAGGUUAAUGAGGCGAACCGGGGGAACUGAAACAUCUAAGUACCCCGAGGAAAAGAAAUCAACCGAGAUUCCCCCAGUAGCGGCGAGCGAACGGGGAGGAGCCCAGAGCCUGAAUCAGUGUGUGUGUUAGUGGAAGCGUCUGGAAAGGCGUGCGAUACAGGGUGACAGCCCCGUACACAAAAAUGCACAUAUUGUGAGCUCGAUGAGUAGGGCGGGACACGUGGUAUCCUGUCUGAAUAUGGGGGGACCAUCCUCCAAGGCUAAAUACUCCUGACUGACCGAUAGUGAACCAGUACCGUGAGGGAAAGGCGAAAAGAACCCCGGCGAGGGGAGUGAAAAAGAACCUGAAACCGUGUACGUACAAGCAGUGGGAGCCUCUUAAUGGGGUGACUGCGUACCUUUUGUAUAAUGGGUCAGCGACUUAUAUUCUGUAGCAAGGUUAACCGAAUAGGGGAGCCGAAGGGAAACCGAGUCUUAACUGGGCGUUAAGUUGCAGGGUAUAGACCCGAAACCCGGUGAUCUAGCCAUGGGCAGGUUGAAGGUUGGGUAACACUAACUGGAGGACCGAACCGACUAAUGUUGAAAAAUUAGCGGAUGACUUGUGGCUGGGGGUGAAAGGCCAAUCAAACCGGGAGAUAGCUGGUUCUCCCCGAAAGCUAUUUAGGUAGCGCCUCGUGAAUUCAUCUCCGGGGGUAGAGCACUGUUUCGGCAAGGGGGUCAUCCCGACUUACCAACCCGAUGCAAACUGCGAAUACCGGAGAAUGUUAUCACGGGAGACACACGGCGGGUGCUAACGUCCGUCGUGAAGAGGGAAACAACCCAGACCGCCAGCUAAGGUCCCAAAGUCAUGGUUAAGUGGGAAACGAUGUGGGAAGGCCCAGACAGCCAGGAUGUUGGCUUAGAAGCAGCCAUCAUUUAAAGAAAGCGUAAUAGCUCACUGGUCGAGUCGGCCUGCGCGGAAGAUGUAACGGGGCUAAACCAUGCACCGAAGCUGCGGCAGCGACGCUUAUGCGUUGUUGGGUAGGGGAGCGUUCUGUAAGCCUGUGAAGGUGUACUGUGAGGUAUGCUGGAGGUAUCAGAAGUGCGAAUGCUGACAUAAGUAACGAUAAAGCGGGUGAAAAGCCCGCUCGCCGGAAGACCAAGGGUUCCUGUCCAACGUUAAUCGGGGCAGGGUGAGUCGACCCCUAAGGCGAGGCCGAAAGGCGUAGUCGAUGGGAAACAGGUUAAUAUUCCUGUACUUGGUGUUACUGCGAAGGGGGGACGGAGAAGGCUAUGUUGGCCGGGCGACGGUUGUCCCGGUUUAAGCGUGUAGGCUGGUUUUCCAGGCAAAUCCGGAAAAUCAAGGCUGAGGCGUGAUGACGAGGCACUACGGUGCUGAAGCAACAAAUGCCCUGCUUCCAGGAAAAGCCUCUAAGCAUCAGGUAACAUCAAAUCGUACCCCAAACCGACACAGGUGGUCAGGUAGAGAAUACCAAGGCGCUUGAGAGAACUCGGGUGAAGGAACUAGGCAAAAUGGUGCCGUAACUUCGGGAGAAGGCACGCUGAUAUGUAGGUGAAGCGACUUGCUCGUGGAGCUGAAAUCAGUCGAAGAUACCAGCUGGCUGCAACUGUUUAUUAAAAACACAGCACUGUGCAAACACGAAAGUGGACGUAUACGGUGUGACGCCUGCCCGGUGCCGGAAGGUUAAUUGAUGGGGUUAGCGGUAACGCGAAGCUCUUGAUCGAAGCCCCGGUAAACGGCGGCCGUAACUAUAACGGUCCUAAGGUAGCGAAAUUCCUUGUCGGGUAAGUUCCGACCUGCACGAAUGGCGUAAUGAUGGCCAGGCUGUCUCCACCCGAGACUCAGUGAAAUUGAACUCGCUGUGAAGAUGCAGUGUACCCGCGGCAAGACGGAAAGACCCCGUGAACCUUUACUAUAGCUUGACACUGAACAUUGAGCCUUGAUGUGUAGGAUAGGUGGGAGGCUUUGAAGUGUGGACGCCAGUCUGCAUGGAGCCGACCUUGAAAUACCACCCUUUAAUGUUUGAUGUUCUAACGUUGGCCCCUGAUCGGGGUUGCGGACAGUGUCUGGUGGGUAGUUUGACUGGGGCGGUCUCCUCCUAAAGAGUAACGGAGGAGCACGAAGGUUGGCUAAUCCUGGUCGGACAUCAGGAGGUUAGUGCAAUGGCAUAAGCCAGCUUGACUGCGAGCGUGACGGCGCGAGCAGGUGCGAAAGCAGGUCAUAGUGAUCCGGUGGUUCUGAAUGGAAGGGCCAUCGCUCAACGGAUAAAAGGUACUCCGGGGAUAACAGGCUGAUACCGCCCAAGAGUUCAUAUCGACGGCGGUGUUUGGCACCUCGAUGUCGGCUCAUCACAUCCUGGGGCUGAAGUAGGUCCCAAGGGUAUGGCUGUUCGCCAUUUAAAGUGGUACGCGAGCUGGGUUUAGAACGUCGUGAGACAGUUCGGUCCCUAUCUGCCGUGGGCGCUGGAGAACUGAGGGGGGCUGCUCCUAGUACGAGAGGACCGGAGUGGACGCAUCACUGGUGUUCGGGUUGUCAUGCCAAUGGCACUGCCCGGUAGCUAAAUGCGGAAGAGAUAAGUGCUGAAAGCAUCUAAGCACGAAACUUGCCCCGAGAUGAGUUCUCCCUGAGACUUUAAGUCUCCUGAAGGAACGUUGAAGACGACGACGUUGAUAGGCCGGGUGUGUAAGCGCAGCGAUGCGUUGAGCUAACCGGUACUAAUGAACCGUGAGGCUUAACCUU